rnacentral:rRNA from 1 species
AGUGAACGCUGGCGGUAGGCCUAACACAUGCAAGUCGAACGGCAGCACAGUAAGAGCUUGCCCUUACGGGUGGCGAGUGGCGGACGGGUGAGGAAUACAUCGGAAUCUACUUUUUCGUGGGGGAUAACGUAGGGAAACUUACGCUAAUACCGCAUACGACCUACGGGUGAAAGCAGGGGAUCUUCGGACCUUGCGCGAUUGAAUGAGCCGAUGUCGGAUUAGCUAGUUGGCGGGGUAAAGGCCCACCAAGGCGACGAUCCGUAGCUGGUCUGAGAGGAUGAUCAGCCACACUGGAACUGAGACACGGUCCAGACUCCUACGGGAGGCAGCAGUGGGGAAUAUUGGACAAUGGGCGCAAGCCUGAUCCAGCCAUACCGCGUGGGUGAAGAAGGCCUUCGGGUUGUAAAGCCCUUUUGUUGGGAAAGAAAAGCAGCAGGUUAAUACCCCGCUGUUCUGACGGGACCCAAAGAAUAAGCACCGGCUAACUUCGU